ACAGGGACAGGGCUCUGCUCAAAUACACAGGAGCUCAAAGCAGGGGUAGGACAGCUACCAUGGAAGAGCCUUAUGACAUGCAAAGAGUUUGGCUUCCAUCCAAUACUCAGUCCAGUCCCGCAAGGUGAGACUAAAGAGCUACAAAGUGAGUGUGCUGGACACUCUGAGAAUCUACAACUGGAGAAGCCAACAUUGCCUGUGGACUGAGAGCCACAUCCCAGAAAGUGAUGUUCAAGUUGAGAUGGGAAAGAUGGGUUGGAAAUGGGGGGGCAGGGGGAUGAGGGAGGAGGAUGCUGGGGGAGAAAAGAAAAAUCCUGGCCGAGGAAACUAAGUAUGUCAGGCUCCUGAGGAGUGGGGAGGCAGCAUGGUGGACCAGAGGGGCUUGGUGAAGCCAGAGAGGACAGAGGGAAUGCUUGACACAUCAAGCCUUUGUUUUCUCUCAUCCAGAUGUCCAGUGGUCUCAGGCAAAGGCCCAGGCAAUGGAGGCUUCCCAUGGGGCCCUCUACCUCUUCACUGCUCCAGGUCGGAUCUGCAGCCUGACGUGGCCAUUCCUCCAGUGUUUGGAGAAUCAUUGCCUUGCCUUCAUUCAGGAGCCAGAUUGCCUGGGCUAGAAUCCCAGCUCCACCAUUCACCAGCUGUGUAAACUCCCUGGGCCUCAGUUUUCUCACCUGUAAAAUGGGAUUCAUUGGACUGUUAUGGAUUAAAUGAGUUGACUUUUAUAAAGUACUUAGAAGAACCUUAUUUAUUUGUUAUGUAUAAAAUGAAAUUCCAUCCUGCCUAAUAAAUAUCAG
rnacentral:lncRNA from 1 species